rnacentral:misc_RNA from 1 species
GUGAUUAGAGUGCUUAAAAUCUGCAGAAAGAAGAAAGUUGAGUUGGAAGAUGAGAAUCAACAACAAAUUCCGGAGGUGGCUCGGGUUGCUGGAGAAUGUGAAGAUGGAUCAGCUCAGGGCUAACGCCAAAAUACUCGGUCUGAGGAAUUAUCCAAUUUGUGUUGUAUUGUGGAAUCAUCCAAUUCAUGUAUAUUUCAUUUGGAUGUGGGAGUGUGCUAAUAGUUGCCUAGGAGGAGGCAGCUGAGACAAUUGAGGGCCUUCUAAUUCUGCUGUAUUGAAGUUAUAUCUAAAAAACACUGAAGUCGAGUUUUAGUCUCAAUCAAACCCAAAUGAACUUAAAAAAAAAAAAAAAAAGCACAACAAUUUAGAACAGUGGGGCACCAGAUAUACCUGUAAUUACAUGGAGAAUUAUUGAUAGACAAAUGAAACGUCGCAUCCGGAGUAGUUUUCUAACAUUUUAAGACUCUUGAUUGAGCAGUUGAUCCACCAAGAUGAAUUUAAGCUUCUUCUGUCUGCUUCUGCCCCAAGGGGACAUCUCUUGACUUGCAAACCAAAAGGAGGAAAAAAAAAAAGACCCUACCAAAUUCCGCAGCAUAUGGCCUCAUUCUUCACGUGUAAUCAACUCUAUAUGUCCCCAUCACAAGAGAGAUGCUUUUGAAGGAUUUCUUUCUAUGUAUUUUAAUUACUUUCUCAGUCCAAUAUUGAAGCAAGAUUACCACUGAGUAGCAAAGGCACCUUCAAAUUAAUCGAC